ACUCAAAUGAAUUGACGGGGACUCACACAAGUAGUGGACCAUGUGGCUUAAUUCGACAACAACCGGAGAACCUUACCAGGUCUAGAAAUCCAUUCGAAUACCAGCAGAAACGUUGGUAGCCGCAAGGCGGAUGGACAGGUGCUGCAUGGCUGUCGUCAGUUCGUGUCUUGAGACGUACCGUUAAUUCGGGUAACGAACGCAACCCUUGCUCUGUGUUUUAUAUGUCACAGAGGACUGCCCGAGAUAAUUGGGAGGAAGGCGAGGAUGACGCCAAGUCAGCAUGGCCCUUGAUGACCUGGGCCGCACACGUGGUACAAUGGUCGGUACAAUGCGCCGCAAACCCGAAAGGGGGAGCAUAAUCGCACCAAAGCCGAUCUCAGUUCGGAUUGAGGGCUGCAACCCGCCCUCAUGAAGCUGGAAUUACUAGUAAUCGCCGAUCAGCUACGCGGCGAUGAAUACGUUCCUGAGUCUUGUACACACCGCCCGU
rnacentral:rRNA from 1 species